AUUGAACGCUGGCGACAUGCUUUACACAUGCAAGUCGAACGGUAACAGGCCGCAAGGUGCUGACGAGUGGCGAACGGGUGAGUAAUGCAUCGGAACGUGCCCAGUCGUGGGGGAUAACGCAGCGAAAGCUGCGCUAAUACCGCAUACGAUCUAUGGAUGAAAGCGGGGGACCGUAAGGCCUCGCGCGAUUGGAGCGGCCGAUGUCAGAUUAGGUAGUUGGUGGGGUAAAGGCUCACCAAGCCAACGAUCUGUAGCUGGUCUGAGAGGACGACCAGCCACACUGGGACUGAGACACGGCCCAGACUCCUACGGGAGGCAGCAGUGGGGAAUUUUGGACAAUGGGCGCAAGCCUGAUCCAGCAAUGCCGCGUGCAGGAAGAAGGCCUUCGGGUUGUAAACUGCUUUUGCACGGAACGAAACGGUCCUGGUUAAUACCUGGGGCUAAUGACGGUACCGUAAGAAUAAGCACCGACUAACUACGUGCCAGCCGCCGCGGUAAAAC
rnacentral:rRNA from 1 species